rnacentral:tRNA from 1 species
GCGCCCGUAGCUCAGCCAGGAUAGAGCAACGGCCUUCUAAGCCGUCGGUCGCAGGUUCGAAUCCUGCCGGGCGCACCA